AAACAACAUGGAGGAUUCAGGAUUGGAUCAGCUGUGUGAGGGGCUGAGGAGUGAAAACUGCAAAUUAGAGAAACUGGGCCUGCACUCAUGUGGUCUCACCUCCAGAUGUUCCUCAUCUCUCUCCUCAGUCCUCUCUUCUCCACACUCACAGAUGACUGAACUGAACCUAAACUUCAACAAACUGGAAGAUUCAGGAGCUCAUCAGCUGUGUGAAGGUCUGCGGACCCCAAACUGUAAAUUAGAGAUACUGGAGCUGCUGUUUAAUGGGAUCAGUGAGAGUGAAAUGAUGAACCUGAGGUUACUACAGGAGGAGCUGAACAGGACUGGACGGCAGGUGAAUAUUAAUACAGAAGAAGACUGAACAUGUUGAUCAUCUGACCCCGGUGAUGGCACCCCCUGUCCAUUUCCUCUAAAUUCUUCUCUUUAUUCUUUUAUAAUCUCCUCAGCUGUCCUCCACAUUUAAUAAACUCUCCAUGUCUUCUUCACAGCCUGUGUGAUUCCUCUUUAAAGUCACUUGUGUUUCUCCACCCUGUGACCCUGAACUGGUAACCAAGCUCCACAAGUUCAGACCAGAGACAUCUGACUUUCAUCACCCAGAGAACCACAGUGAGAAUUGUCCUCUUAAACUAGCUGGGGUCACAAAGCCCACUGAGGGGAGCAGCAGGAGUAAACACGAGUGGACAUUCCAGUUGAAGGGUGAUGGAAAGUGAGGCCAAUCUUGGCAUUAGUGACAAAUUCUAGACAGGCACCGGGCUGUCACAGGUCAAGCUGAUGGCCACCUCAACAGAAAACUUAUAAGCCUACUGCUCCUCAACAUCAUGUGGUGUUGUUUGAACCUGUGUCUGUUUCACAGAAGAGCUACAAAGACAAAGAUGGUUAUAGAGACAGGAGAGAUGGGGGACAGAUGAGUACAGAAGAGGAGAGUCAAAUAGGACAGAGGGGGACAAUAAAUGGAGGAGAUAAGGAACAUUUAAAUGUGAAACCGUGGAAAAGCUGAGUUACAUUAGAAUGGAGAAGAGAGUUUGAUUUCCAAGGUCAGCAGCCUUGAUGGAGACAUGAUGGCCAUCUGCACCCUCUUCUGUGUUGAGAAGGCUGAAGAUCUUUGUGGACAGGAAGACUCUACUCUGCCUCAGUUGUGGUUCAAGGAGAUCCAUGAUGUGCCAGAAUAUUAAGAAGCGAAGAUGGAUAACAUCCUCAGCUAGAAAGAGGAGUAAAGUGAAUAAGAUAAUAAGAGUACAAGGAUGGAGAAGUGAGGAGGUGACAGUAAAUAUGACAGACAGUGAUGGCAGUGCAAACGUCAUCAGGAGUCAUAGAUUGUGGACUCUGAUUAUUUCAUUGAUGACUGAUGAGAAUGACGACAGUGUUGGACCACCAUAAUGAGAGGAUUUUAGGUAAAGCUUCCCUUCAAAAGAUGAUGCUGAUGGACACAAAUUAAAUGUCCAAUGUGAAGAGACUCAUUCUAGUUUGUCGAGGCUGUUAGUGUCAGUUUGACUACAAUGUUCACAGACCUGCUCCUCUUAACCCCUACAGGAUCCUCAUAUGCCAACUUUGGGUGGACUCC